CUACCAGCAAUACCAUAGUACCUGUAUUUGAAAUAAAUACCCGGUACAUUUACAGGGUUCAAACUGACACAAUGGUGGUGUUUGAUUAAUUCUGACCCAAAUUGCUUUGUCGCCCUUCUGGCUGUUGUUGUAUAUGGUGAUAUUUUUGCAAAUGUGAAGGCUAUA